ACUGCUCAGUAACACGUGGACAACCUGCCCUUAGGUUGGGUAUAAACCCGGGAAACUGGGUAUAAUACCCGAUAGGUCUCGAUUGCUGGAAUGCAUCGAGAUUUAAAGCUCCGGCGCCUAAGGAUGGGUCUGCGGCCUAUCAGGUAGUAGUGGGUGUAGCGUACCUACUAGCCUACGACGGGUACGGGUUGUGAGAGCAAGAGCCCGGAGAUGGAUUCUGAGACACGAAUCCGGGCCCUACGGGGUGCAGCAGGCGCGAAAACUUUACAAUGCUGGCAACAGCGAUAAGGGAACCUCGAGUGCCAGGUUACAAAUCUGGCUGUCGAGAUGCCUAAAAAGCAUUUCAUAGCAAGGGCCGGGCAAGACCGGUGCCAGCCGCCGCGGUAACACCGGCGGCUCGAGUGGUAACCGUUAUUAUUGGGUCUAAAGGGUCUGUAGCCGGCCGGAUAAGUCUCUUGAGAAAUCUGGCAGCUUAACUGUCAGGCUUUCAGGAGAUACUGUCUGGCUCGAGGCCGGGAGAGGUGAGAGGUACUUCAGGGGUAGGGGUGAAAUCUUGUAAUCCUUGAAGGACCACCAGUGGCGAAGGCGUCUCACCAGAACGGACCUGACGGCAAGGGACGAAAGCUAGGGGCACGAACCGGAUUAGAUACCCGGGUAGUCCUAGCCGUAAACGAUACUCGCUAGGUGUCGGCCACGGUGCGACCGUUGUCGGUGCCGUAGGGAAGCCGUGAAGCGAGCCACCUGGGAAGUACGGCCGCAAGGCUGAAACUUAAAGGAAUUGGCGGGGGAGCAC
rnacentral:rRNA from 1 species